AGGGACUGGAGUUCAGACGUGUGCUCUCGGAGUCCGUUAGCUUUUCACUUGCUGUGGUCUGUUCACAGCUUCAGCCUAGUCACUGUUUCGUAUCCUAAUGGAUCUAUUACUCAGGACCCAGUGGCUUCCUUUUCCUUUAAGACAUCUUAGGAACAGCACUCUGGACCGAGGGUUCUAGUCUACCUAAGCGAGGGAAAGUACAUUGGCAGAGCACUUAGAUUUCCUGGUUCCUGUCAUUUAGGAUGGGCUACUCAGGCUCUGCCUGUGAAGGCAGAGAAGGCGGAGGGCGAAAGAGGAACAGCAAUGCAGCAGACCUUUGGUUUCCUUCAGAUGGACCUACUCUGAAGGAACUGUAUCCAACUCCUCUCUUAUGUAUGGUGCUUAUCUAACGGGUGACAGCUGUCUCCCGGCUACCUGUCCCUGGCACUGUGCCUUCCCACUGGUCACUGUGAAAAAUAGAUCACACUGGACUCAGAGGCCAGAAUCCAGGACAAGAUCCCUCUUCGUAUCUUGAGCCCAUUGCUUCUUCUCACAGCUUAUAAUGUAGCAUUAACUUCUCUUUGAGAACUUUGGGAGUUUUCAUCCCAAGAAACCGCCGGAAAACAUAAGGAAACAUAAUUAGAUUUUGGUUAUACAUUUGUCACAUUACGAAAUGACAGAAAGAUUUCACGUGAGCUGCUACUGAGUGACAGCGAGAGUCGAACUGCAACCUCUUCUUGUUCCUGAGGCUGACACAGUAGCAUCUGUAAGCAGCAGGUAUCUGACUAGUUCCUACUAGUUCAUCAAGGAGACUUCAUAUUGAAACAGACAAUCACUUUCUAAAGCAUUGAUCCUGGAUGGGAAUGGAUAGAUUAUUUUUAACUACCAGUCUGUUUUCUCCCUAUGAAAGGGACACUUGAGAUUCGUGUCUUUCAUCUACAGCAGUUAUGCCGUUAACAGUAAAGAUGCCUGAGAGAGCGCAGCAGUGCAACACUCCCACACCCGAGAACGCAGGGUUGCCUCUGUGCAUCUUUCCUCCCAAAACUUUGUCUUUCCCUCAUGACCUUAACUAUAAAUACCUAUAUUAGAAGUAGGAUUUUCUCUCCCCAGUCUCCUUUAAUCAUCAUAUAAGUGUAAACCCUCCAUUCCCCUUUACUAAGAAAAAACAAAAACAAGAAGUAUGCACUUUAAUUCCUAAGGAGUGUGGCUGUUCCUGGCCCCGAAGCCAGAUCGCUCAGGAGGAGAGUUGAAGAGGGAAAACUCUUGCCAGACCCUGUAAGGUUUAACCACAUUUCCUUGUCCCUUACCCCCAUAGUGCUGGGGAUUGAGCCCAGAGCCUUACACAUGCUCGGCAACUGCUGCCCCAGUAACAAAUACCUUAAUGUGAACACAAAUGCCACAUUUUUUAAGCUGCCCCCAAGCAUUCCCUGCCAAAGGGAAAAAGAACCACUAAAUAAGAGUUCAAAAUACUUACCCUGAUUUUGGAUUUUUUUUUUUCUGGGGGAAAUUUUAUUCUCAUUGAAUUAUUUUUUAACUGCCAAAUUAUAUCUUUAAAAAAAUCAUGUUUUGUGGUAGUUUUUUUCUGUUUUUGAUUUUAAAAGAUUUUUUGAUUUGUUUUCAAGCGAAAACAAUGGCACUAAAAUAUUAUCCAGAACUGUGUCACAGCUAAGUACUGAGCUUGGGUCCCCUGUGUGACAGGGGACCCUGACUCUCCUCCUGUAGAAUCUGUCUUUCCCUGGACAAGCCAAUAGUUCUUGGAGGGGUAGCAUGUCUCCUAGAGCCCCUGGAGCCCAUUGUGUCGGGGAGGGGGGAGGGCACGAGGGUCAAGGGAGGGAGAGAUUCAAAGAAGAGUUAAGAUGUGGGUUUCUAUAAACAUAUUUAAAGCAGUUAGCAAAAGCUUUCUCGUUGAACAGCUUUAAGAACAAUGUGAAUGAAAUCUUAGCAACUUGGCUAGUAAUCUGAGAAGUCUGUUAAUGUAUACUUGAAAUUGUAUAAAAAUGCAUUUUCUCUUUAUUUUGACACUGUGUAUAAGAACAUUAUGCAUGUGAGUGGUUUGAGAAAUAAAACGUUUAAUACUCAUA
rnacentral:sRNA from 1 species